UACAGAGGUCUCAAGCGUUGUUCGGAUUCAUUGGGCGUAAAGGGUGCGUAGGCGGCGCGGUAAGUCGGGUGUGAAAUCUUGGAGCUUAAACUCCGAAACUGCAUUCGAUACUGCCGUGCUUGAGGACUGGAGAGGAGACUGGAAUUUACGGUGUAGCGGUGAAAAUGCGUAGAUAUCGUAAGGAAGACCAGUGGCGAAGGCGGGUCUCUGGACAGUUCCUGACGCUGAGGCACGAAGGCCAGGGGGAGCAAACGGG
rnacentral:rRNA from 1 species